rnacentral:hammerhead_ribozyme from 1 species
CUACCACUGAGGAGUCCCACAAUAGGACGAAACGGCCGUCCAGUAC